UACAGAGGGUGCGAGCGUUAAUCGGAAUUACUGGGUGUAAAGCGUGCGUAGACGGUUGCGUAAGUCAGAUGUGAAAGCCCCGGGCUCAACCUGGGAAUUGCAUUUGAGACUGCGUAGCUAGGGUGCGGAAGAGGGAAGCGGAAUUUCCGGUGUAGCGGUGAAAUGCGUAGAUAUCGGGAGGAACACCUGAGGCGAAGGCGGGCUACUGGGCCGAUACGUGACGCUGAUGCGCGAAAGCCAGGGGAGCAAACGGG
rnacentral:rRNA from 1 species